CGGGGUGUGGCGCAGCCCGGCAGCGCGCUUGCUUCGGGAGCAAGAGGUCGCGAGUUCAAAUCUCGCCACCCCGACAA
rnacentral:tRNA from 2 species